AUCGCUUCUCGGCCUUUUGGCUAAGAUCAAGUGUGGAGUUACAGAAAUGUUCUAUAUAAUUUUGGGAAAGAGUUUGAGUAUUUACAUUUAUGUAUGACUUAUUGAGUUGUACACUUACUUAUGCAUUUAAUUGUGUACCUUUA
rnacentral:snRNA from 1 species